ACAGCAGUCGCCGCGGGAAUACGUAGGUGGCAAGCGUUGUCCGGAAUUAUUGGGCGUAAAGGGCUCGCAGGCGGUUUCUUAAGUCUGAUGUGAAAUCCCCGGGCUCAACCUGGGAACUGCAUUUGAGACUGUAUGGCUAGAGUGUGUCAGAGGGGGGUAGAAUUCCACGUGUAGCAGUGAAAUGCGUAGAUAUGUGGAGGAAUACCGAUGGCGAAGGCAGCCCCCUGGGCCAAUACUGACGCUCAUGCACGAAAGCGUGGGGAGCAAACAGGAUUAGAUACCCGCGUAGUCCCUGUCUCUUAUAA
rnacentral:rRNA from 1 species